rnacentral:rRNA from 1 species
CACACCGCCCGUCACACCAUGGGAGUCAGUCGUACCGGAAGUCGGCGUGCUAACCCGCAAGGGGGGCAGCCGCCUAUGGUAUGGCUGGUGACUGGGGUG